UUUUUGAGAGAUGAAGCAAUCCCAUAUCCACAUUUUAUUAUGCAUCAGGUAAUGCAUCCGACGUCAGGCAUCAUCCUUACAAAUAACUAUUCUUGACUAAUAGUAAUUCAUAAAAUUUCCUUAAUCAAGGAACCACAAAAUUUGAUCCAAGCUUACCCUUCUUCACUAUCCUCCUAUUCCCAUAGCGAAAAUUGCAAGGAGAGUUGCCCAAUAUCCAACCACAAGUAACUCGUACUAAAAGACAAACCAAAGGGAAUAAAAUGAAAACAAAAGGGAAAAUUACAAAAUCAGUUUAUUUAGGAAGACUGAUAACAGCGAGGAACAAUAAUAAAUUGAACGCCGCAUUAUACCCUAUAACCCCCCAUACCAAGCAUCUACUCAUGAGUGCCUUGUCUAACCCUAGUAUGUUACUUUGGCAUCUUCAUGUUUCUCACCAACUUUUUUACCUUUNUUAUGAAUAUGAACCCUCCAGCCUCAACCUUGCGGUUAGCCAAUUACAGACUUCAUCUGUCUCUUCAGGGACUGUGUAGUGACCCAGCCCAUUGUAUGCUUUAAAUGUAAGAUUUCGAAAUCCAGCUGAAUUUAAGGUCUGUGCUGAUUUCUCCCCGUGCUUGUAUGCAACCACAUCAUCACCUAAACCGUGACAGACCAGAACAGGCAAGGAUGCUGCAUGCCUUGCAGCUUCAUGUGAUCCUUCCAUCCCCCGGUGCCGGCGCCCCCCCCCCCCCAGCCACUUAGACCAACAACUGCAUUUAGGUUGACAGGAUACAAAUUUCCGUUUCCAUAUUGUCCUAUAACACGGCAUGUGGCUGAGUAGAGGGCAGUCGCAGCACCCAUGCUGAAGCCACCAACACCAAGUUUGAUAUCUGCAGGUUCUGUUGACAACAGAUUAGCAACAUGUGCUGCUGAAGCAUCCAGCCCCUCCAAGUCAUCAGGAGCAUUUUCUGAUAUGUCUCCCACAUCAAACCAAGCAGUGCAUGGAAAUCCACCAAAUAUUGCUACUGGUCUUGUUGGAGCAGUUGGGCAAAUCCAUUUAAUAUUUGGAAGAGGAAGGGUUUCCAGGAGCUGGGACCAGCUUGAGCCCUUGUCACCAAGACCGUGCAGCCAAACUAUGGUAGCCUGGUGUUGUCCUUUAGGCCUGACCACAUGGGUCCUUCCAAACUCAAAUGUCUUCAUAGUACUUCUACUACCAGAACCACUAGUGGUUGUGUUGCUCAUUAUACACAACCAAAUUAUUCAGACUUCGCAGACUACUUGAUUAUUAAUGAACGGUUUAAGCCGAGUUCAUUCAGUAUAGAAAUAUGAAAAAGAUCUGAUGAAAGUAUAAAGUAAAAACAAUAUGGAGGAGUGGGGUUUAAGCUUUAAAG
rnacentral:misc_RNA from 1 species